rnacentral:rRNA from 1 species
UACGUAGGUGGCAAGCGUUGUCCGGAAUUAUUGGGCGUAAAGCGCGCGCAGGCGGUCCUUUAAGUCUGAUGUGAAAGCCCACGGCUCAACCGUGGAGGGUCAUUGGAAACUGGGGGACUUGAGUGCAGGAGAGAAGAGUGGAAUUCCAGGUGUAGCGGUGAAAUGCGUAGAUAUCUGGAGGAACACCGGUGGCGAAGGCGGCAUCCUGGACCGACACUGACGCUGAGGAGCGAAAGCCAGGGGAGCAAACGGG